rnacentral:rRNA from 1 species
UACGUAGGGUGCAAGCGUUGUCCGGAAUUAUUGGGCGUAAAGAGCUCGUAGGCGGUCUGUCGCGUCUGCUGUGAAAACUCAGGGCUUAACCCUGAGCUUGCAGUGGGUACGGGCAGACUAGAGUGCGGUAGGGGAGACUGGAAUUCUCGGUGUAGCGGUGAAAUGCGUAGAUAUCGAGAGGAACACCUGCGGCGAAGGCGGGUUGCUAGGCUGACACUGACGCUGAUGCGCGAAAGCUAGGGGAGCGAACGGG